GAGUUUGUUGGGAUCAACGAGAACUGCUAAUUCCUCGCUUCCAUGGUUCAACUCCAUGGCUGACUCA
rnacentral:tRNA from 1 species